CCUCGGCCACGCCCCUUGCCUCCUGGAGGUCUGCGGGAUAGGCUCUGGCUUCCUCUGUUGUCGCCGCAGGGGCGGAAGGGUCCGGUGCAGGCUUGGUGGGUCUGAUGACGUAGCUCCGGUCUCUGCGGCCUCUCAGAUGUGUAUUGGUGACCUGCUUUGGCCAAGUCUUAAGCUAAUGAAUGCUACUUUACACCAAGCAAGAUGCACGGAUACCCAGCCAGUGCUGUGGACCCAGUGUUGAAGUGCACAAGACAGGAUUUCCUUGUUGUUUUCUUAGCAUCCCUUUAGAUGGGGUCCCUGGAUUUUUCAUCUGUCAUCAGUCACCAAACACCUUUACCUGCUGGGUCAUUUCACCAGUUCCCAAUUCUAUUUUAAAUUCAGGCAGGAUGAAGACUAAAUGCAGAGAUAAGCUCUGGACAUCAUCUUUUGCCAAGAAGAGCCCAUCAGAAAGAGCAAGAAUUCACAUCCAGUGAAGUACACUGGAAUGGGAAGGUCAGACUUCUUCUACCCAGAAAUCCAGGCAGGCUACCAUGACGUAGAAUCAGACAAGGGGAUCUAAGUCUCUGUAACCCAGGAACCAAGAGUCAGGCAUCCUUGUUACUAGGUUCGUCUAUUCUCAGUGGCUACUUGCCUGGUUCUUGUCUUGGUGCAUAGGGUGGAAAAAAGUCUGCAUACUGGAGCCAGAGAACCAUCAUCAUAGGAAAGAAGUACCAGGGAUGGGAGUGUGGGCAGAGGACAGAUGGUCACUGUGAUAGAAUUUCCUGCCUCCUGCUACAUGUUCCUGCAUUAGCUCACCUAUCAGCCCAGUUGAGGGGUGUUUUCUUUUCUUACUUUGUUUUUACUACAUCUUCUUACUGAGUAGGAGGAGAUUUUCCCAGAUUGCCAGCCAGUUCAAGAUCUUAGUUGUAAAGAGUUAGGAAGCAAGGGUGUGGAGUGGGAGGAGGGACAAAGAAAAUCCUCCUGGACUGCCAAAGGCAUUUGUCAUCUUGUUUGACACUGUCAUCACAGAGCCUAAGGAAACCUCUGUAAACAAUUUGACAUUUCUUUAUUUUGAAGCAGCUGAAACCUGCCUUACCUGUGAGAUCGCCUCAUCUUGCUAAUGACCAUAAUUGUUGGGUCUCUGACCAGCCAUGACCCAGCCUUGAUAAUGGUGCUAAAAGCAAACCUGGAGCCAGGUAAUCUGCGGUACCCUCCCUUCCAGUGUGCACAUGGCAGCUGGAAGGAUGGCAGACAAGUCAGAGGUUUAGUGGUGUCUUCCUUUCAGUGCUUUUUAGUUUGGGUCAGAGGGAAGCACUGCACAUACUGAAGAAGUCUGGUUUGGGGAAAUGCCUGGGGCACAUUAUUGCUUAGCAGUGAGCCCAGAAAAAAAAAUGCUCAUAUUCUUACAAUAUUACAGAAAAAAAAAAAACAUACAAAGUACAGGGGGAAAAAAAAAAACAAUGCUGAAAAUGUUGCUCAGUUGGGAGGCUACUCCCAGCAUUCUCAAAGCCCUAGGUUUGAUCUCCAGGACUUCAAAAACUAGGUAGUACAUUCCUAUAAUUCUAGAGCUCAGGAGGUGGAGAUGAUGGAAAGGUCAGGACAAGGUCAUUCUCAGCUCUGCAGCAAGUUUGAGGCCAGCCUGGGACACUCAAGACUCUGUCUCAAAAAGCCCCUAAGAAGAUGUGUUGAUGCUAGGACAUGGCUCUUGGUUCAACAGUGGGAGGGGUGACAUAACAAAGUGCUUCCUUGACAGAGACAAAAACCAGAUGGGCAAACACUAGUUUAUAAUGAAUUUACAA